rnacentral:lncRNA from 1 species
GUCGAGACGGGAAGGUGACCCCAUUGGACCAGGUGUCGGGGGUCCAACGUUUACGAGUUACAGAGGCGAAUAGGCGGCAUAAGUAGCAUAGUACGGGAAUGGGACGCGUCGCGUCACAGGCUGCCGCGAAGACUGGCACAACGUCAAACGACAUGCACUGCUUGCUACCGAUUGUAAAACUGAAUUUAGGAACCUGGAGUGCAAAGGUUGGCAUACUUCGUUUACAAGGAAUACAGAUUUCCAGUUUACCUCUAAGUUUUCUACUUCCCUUCCCGGAUUCUGACGGAAUUAUACAAAUGCGUUUGAGAUGUCAGAUCACGCCGUUUUCCCAGGUACUCAAAUUAUGUUCCCUCAUCCAAUGUCC